rnacentral:lncRNA from 1 species
CACACCUUCCAGCUCCCCACUUUCACCUGACAUCAGUAGCAACUGGAGGAUGGGGACAUCGCCUACGUAGGCAGCAGCAUGCAAUGGAGUUCGCCUCUCUUGGUCCUGGGAAGGCAAAAAAGAGCAGGGAGUAUGGGCGCGGGGUAAGGGGGCUAUCAAGGACCCCAGCCCAAGUCUCAGAGCUCCAGGCCCUUCCCCACAACCUCUUCCCAUAGUUUCUGCAGCGUCCUAAGUCCCGGUAUUGGGAGUCAAAGGCAAGCACCUAGGGAGGGUGGAGUCAGGGCCAAUGGGCUGAGAAGCCGGCUCCUUUUUCCAGGAGGGGUGGGGGCGCUGCAGACUCCGGAGGUUGAGAAGAGAACAACGUUCCUGGGCAUUCCCAGCCCAAGUGAUCUGGGCUUCAAGCCUGACCUGCUCUCCAUCCCCAAAUGCAGAGUAGGCUUUCACUCCAGGAUGGAAAGAACUGCGGCCUCAUCUGAGCAGAGGAGACACGGAGCCGCCCCACCGGUGGGGAGGGGUCCAGAACACGGGAGCCAGGAUUCCGGUCUCGCCAUCCUCCCUGCUCCCAACUCACCAGCACAUUGAUGUUCUCCUUCUGCGAGAGUAGGGAACGCACUUCCUCCACAUCUCGGCUAAAGAUGGCCUGGACCAGGGGCGGCUGCAGAGAGAACCGGCAUUCUGAGAGCGGGCUGGAGCCGGAGCGGAACCGAACAGCCUGUGGCGCUUCCCCUCCUCCAAUGGAGAGGCCAGAGAGCCGUCAAUUAGAGAAGAAAUGAAUGGAGGUCAUCUCAACCCAGAAACGGAAAAAGGAGGAAGACGAAAAGUGGAGAUUGAAAAAUUGAUACAAUUUAUAAAAGGUGAUCCAGGGUCCUGUUCAGAGUUUCACAACUCAAUACACAUUGAAGAGAACACGAAAUGGACGAAGUGCAGCAUGCUGGCGUCCUGUCAAG